GACGAGGAGGACAAGCGUUAUUCGGUGUCACUAGGCGUAAAGACCCUUAAGGCGGUUAAAAGAAGACUCGUCAAAACUUGAAAUCUACAUUCAAGAAGCGACACACUUCAACCAACUGGAGUAGAAAAAAAGAGAAGGGAAUUUCCAAAGUAGUGAUAAAAUACGUUGAGAUUGGAAGGAACACCAAAGGCGAAAGCACUUCUCUCAAACCUACUGACGCUGAAAGGGGAAAGUCUGGGGAGCAAAUGGG
rnacentral:rRNA from 1 species